UACGGAGGGAGCUAGCGUUGUUCGGAAUUACUGGGCGUAAAGCGCGCGUAGGCGGCUUUGUAAGUUAGAGGUGAAAGCCCGGGGCUCAACCCCGGAAUUGCCUUUAAGACUGCAUCGCUUGAAUCCGGGAGAGGUGAGUGGAAUUCGAGUGUAGAGGUGAAAUUCGUAGAUAUUCGGAAGAACACCAGUGGCGAAGGCGGCUCACUGGACCGGCAUUGACGCCUGAGGUGCGAAAGCGUGGGGAGCAAACAGG
rnacentral:rRNA from 1 species